GCUGGGCACAGUGGCGCAUGCCUAUAAUACCAGCUGCUUGGGAGGCUGAGGCAGGAGGAUUACGGGUUCAAAGCCAGCCUCAACAACUAAACAACUCAGUUGGACCCUGCCUCUA
rnacentral:sRNA from 1 species